rnacentral:rRNA from 1 species
AACGAACGCUGGCGGCAUGCCUAACACAUGCAAGUCGAACGGGAUCCUGGCUUCGGUCAGGUGAGAGUGGCGGACGGGUGAGUAACGCGUGGGAACCUGCCCAGUGGUGGGGGAUAACUGCGGGAAACUGCAGCUAAUACCGCAUGAGCCCGAGAGGGAAAGAUUUAUCGCCAGAAGAGGGGCCCGCGUCCGAUUAGGUAGUUGGUGGGGUAAUGGCCUACCAAGCCGACGAUCGGUAGCUGGUCUGAGAGGAUGAUCAGCCACACUGGGACUGAGAUACGGCCCAGACUCCUACGGGAGGCAGCAGUGGGGAAGUAUUGGACGAAUAGGGGGGCGGAACCCUACGAUCCACGCAAUGCCGCGUGAGUGAUGAAGGG